rnacentral:rRNA from 1 species
UGGACCUACGGGGCGCAGCAGUGAGGAAUAUUGGUCAAUGGGCGCAAGCCUGAACCAGCCAAGUCGCGUGAGGGAAGACGGCCCUACGGGUUGUAGACCUCUUUUGUCGGAGAACAAAACCCGGGACGUGUCCAGGACUGCGUGUAUCCGAAGAAAAAGCAUCGGCUAACUCCGUGCCAGCAGCCGCGGUAAUACGGAGGAUGCGAGCGUUAUCCGGAUUUAUUGGGUUUAAAGGGUGCGUAGGCGGUCCGUUAAGUCAGCGGUAAAAUUGCGGGGCUCAACCCCGUCGAGCCGUUGAAACUGGC